rnacentral:rRNA from 1 species
AAACAUCUUUGAAAGAAAGAAUUUUUGAUUUGACCUGCUCAAUGAAUUAAAUAGCUGCAGUAUUUUGACUGUACAAAGGUAGCAUAAUCAAUAGUCUUUUAAUUGAAGAAUAGUAUGAAUGGUUUGACGGAAUAUUCUUAAUUUUAUUGAAUUUUUAGUUUAAGUCAAAAUGCUUAAUUAAAUAAAAGGGACGAUAAGACCCUAUAGAAUUUGAAAUUGUUUUUUUUGUUGGGGUGACUAAAUAACUUACUUUUUUCAUUUUUAGGUGUUUUAUGAUCUUUUUUAAGAUAAAAAGAUAAAAUUACCUUAGGGAUAACAGCAUAAUUUUUAACAAAGAUCUUAUUAAAAUAAAAGAUUAUGACCUCGAUGUUGAAUUAAUAUUAAUUAGAUGCAGAAGUUAAUUC